CUCAGGGUGCGAUUUCACUUCUAGAAUGUUUAAAAUGAGGCAUCUGAGAAGGAAAGGGUAUUGAUAGGACUGAAUGAAAAGAAAACACCCGGGAUCCUUAGGAAAAGGACACAGAAUGAACACAACUUGGUUUGUGAAGUAUCAGGACUAAAACGAAAUUCCAAGCCCCAUUCUGCUUCAAAGCCCUCUCCAUCCUGCCAGCCUCCACUAAACACGAUGAAACCCUUCCCUCACCUCCAGCGUUCAACUCCACUGAAGGAACUCAGGAUUAUUGUUUACCCAUCCGUGAACUUAUACUCGAAAAAACAUUAAAACCAAGACAAUCAUCAAGAACAGGACACUCUUAAACAUAUACAAGGAAGCAGAUGUUUAAUCUGGAUUGCAUUUAUACAUCUGCAAUCUAUCAAUGAAUCUUUUCAAAAUCUGUAAUGUGGUCCAUCAAAAUGGCUACACUGGAUGGCAAUCGUGGAUACUGACGCACUACUUGAAGAAAGCUGCUUCAGCGGGGUGCUCUGUUGCUAUUAUGCUAAACGAUCACCUCCUAGGGUCUAAAGAGAUUGAGAGUUUAUAUCUGUGGAUGAGAAAAUUAUAUUUCCAUCUACAGUCCCAGACUGCCAAGUUACUAAGAAAUAUGGAAACGGACCUUUUUGAGCAAGAGGUGGAAAAAUCCGUAAAUCAACAGUGACUCUUGGAAAAAGCACACAUCUAAAACAAACUUAAAAGAUGAUCUUUAAGGGCAGCUUCAGGACUUUCCACUUGGGUUUCUCUGUACUACUCUGAUUAACUUCAUUACCUUCUACAGCGUCAUAACACAAAGGACAAGAAAUUGGAGGAAUGUGAUUACAUGGUGGCAUCCCUA